rnacentral:misc_RNA from 1 species
UAUUUAUAAGAUCAUGAUUCUAAAGUAUAAAAUAAUAUUUAAUCAGUUUGAUCGUAAAUUAUGAUUAAACUAUUUUGAAGGAGUUACUUUUAUGUUGGAAAUAUUAAAGUACUUCACAAUGAAAGUCAACAAUUAUUGUCAAUUUGAAAUGUUUUAAAGUUGUAUUAAGGAUAUUUUAAAUUGAAAUGUUUUAAAGAGUUAGAUGUAACCAGGAUAUUCAAUAUGAAAUGUUUUGAAGGUGUAACCAGGAUAUUCUAGGUGGUGCCAUUUUCAGGCGUAACCCAUUCACACUAGCAAUAGCAUGCUUUUAACUGUAUCAUCAAAUCUUUUAUGUAUAACCUCUGCAAUUGUUGUAUUUACUGGUCUAUGUUUUUGUGCUGUCUUUUGCAUAAACUCUUGACCGCUAGGUCUUCAAUACCAGUGCUACAAUGGUAAGCUUUUAUUUCAGCUUUCUCUUUCAGCAGUUUGAAGUAAAUCUUGUAAAAUAUUCGUCUUUGUUAUUCAAUCGAUUUUCAGGAUACCGAUUUUAUUACAUUUAAAAUAUCAUUUUAAAGAUAAUAAGAAUAUCGGACAUUUCCAGUCGCAGUGGAAUGACUAAGAUGAAUUUUAGAUUCUUCAUUUUUGAUUGUAAAUUAUAGGAAAAGACUUUAAAAGGCAUUUCAUUUAGUGUUCUCUGUCAUUGACUUCAUUUUUAACUAAUAACCUUCCAAAUAGUACUAAAAUAUUGCAGCAUUUUGUUACAGCACCCCAGCGCUAUGAUGUUUGUGGGUCUUAAUUUACUAUAUCUUCUAUUGCAAGAAGAAUUAUUUUAAGUUAUUUAAAAAGUCAAUGUAUAAUGGCCAAAUCUUUAUAGAAUGCUAGCAAUAUAGUAUAUUGUAUAAAUGAUAUAUAAAAAUUUGAUUAUAU